rnacentral:rRNA from 1 species
ACAGCAGUCGCCGCGGGAAUACGAAGGGUGCAAGCGUUACUCGGAAUUACUGGGCGUAAAGCGUGCGUAGGUGGUUGUUUAAGUCUGCUGUGAAAGCCCUGGGCUCAACCUGGGAAUUGCAGUGGAUACUGGGCGACUAGAGUAAGGUAGAGGAUAGUGGAAUUUCCGGUGUAGCAGUGAAAUGCGUAGAGAUCGGAAGGAACAUCUGUGGCGAAGGCGACUAUCUGGGCCAUUACUGACACUGAGGCACGAAAGCGUGGGGAGCAAACAGGAUUAGAUACCCCGGUAGUCCCUGUCUCUUAUAA